UACGUAGGGUGCGAGCGUUAAUCGGAAUUACUGGGCGUAAGGCGUGCGCAGGCGGUUUUGUAAGCCCGAUGUGAAAUCCCCGGGCUUAACCUGGGAAUGGCAUUUGGGACUGCAAGGCUAGAGUGUGGCAGAGGAGACUGGAAUUCCUGGUGUAGCAGUGAAAUGCGUAGAUAUCAGGAGGAAUACCGAUGGCGAAGGCAGGUCUCUGGGCUAACACUGACGCUCAUGCACGAAAGCGUGGGGAGCAAACAGG
rnacentral:rRNA from 1 species